GGAGAGAUGGCCGAGCGGUUGAAGGCGCACGCCUGGAAAGUGUGUAUAUGGGAGAGCUAUAUCGGGGGUUCGAAUCCCCCUCUCUCCGCCA
rnacentral:tRNA from 1 species